GCGCUCGUAGCUCAGCUGGAUAGAGCACCGGCCUUCGAAGCCGGGUGCCGCAGGUUCGAAUCCUGCCGGGCGCACCA
rnacentral:tRNA from 2 species